AUAUUGGUCAAUGGGCGUUAGCCUGAACCAGCCAAGUAGCGUGAAGGAUGAAGGCUCUAUGGGUCGUAAACUUCUUUUAUAUAAGAAUAAAGUGCAGUAUGUAUACUGUUUUGUAUGUAUUAUAUGAAUAAGGAUCGGCUAACUCCGUGCCAGCAGCCGCGGUAAUACGGAGGAUCCGAGCGUUAUCCGGAUUUAUUGGGUUUAAAGGGAGCGUAGGUGGACUGGUAAGUCAGUUGUGAAAGUUUGCGGCUCAACCGUAAAAUUGCAGUUGAUACUGUCAGUCUUGAGUACAGUAGAGGUGGGCGGAAUUCGUGGUGUAGCGGUGAAAUGCUUAGAUAUCACGAAGAACUCCGAUUGCGAAGGCAGCUCACUGGACUGCAACUGACACUGAUGCUCGAAAGUGUGGGUAUCAAACAGG
rnacentral:rRNA from 1 species